AAAAGUAAAUUAUUUUAAAAAAUUAAAUUUAAAAAUUAAAGAACAAUUAAAAAAAUAUUCAAAAAUUAAUCAAAAUGAAAGACAAAGUGCUUUAUAUCUAAUGCGUGAUAGUGACUAUGAGUAUGAAGAAGAAGAAGAAGAGGAACGAGUAGAAAAAAAAAAAAAAAGUGAACCAAGCAGGAAAUUAUUAGAUUCAUACAUAAUUAACACACAAAACUAUAGAACAUCUACUUUAAAUGAACAACAAAAAGAACAAAAAAUAUCAAUCACGAUGAGAAAUAGUAAUGAAGUCAUGAUUGAACAAACAGGUACAUCUAUUACAAGUGCAAGUGCUUCAGGUAGAAAAAGCCAAGAGCGUUUUUCUAGGUUAACUCAUUACAAUACUGAAAAAAAAUAUGAUAUAUCUCCACUAUUAUUAUCUAGUACUUCAGUGGUAGAAGGUAUGGGAAUAAUGGUAACUACGUGUGUCAGUAAACACAAACAAAUGUUUCAUAAGAUGACUAGGGAUGUGGAUGACGAUCUGACAGCGUUUGAAGUGUUAAUAAAUAGUUAUGCACAAAAUGUUAUUAUUAUUAUUAUAUUUUGUUGUUCUUUAUGUAUUUUGCUUAUUGUUUUACAUUUUUUUAUAAGUUUAAUAGAAAAUAGUAUGCAAACCUUAUCCUAUCAUAUAUUAAUUUUUUUGUUAAAUACACUUAUUUCUGAAAUACUGAAAUAUUUACUAGUAUCAAUCGAUCAAAUUCCUUUAUUGUUACAAAAUAAUAUAGCAUUCAAUUCGGAUAAAAUAGUAAAAGAAAAUUUUAUUAUAAAAAAUAAAAAAAUAUUUGAACGAGUUAUGUUUACAAAUACGAUAUUUAUUGAUAUAGAUAGAUAUAUAAAAUAUAAAUGUAUAUAUUUUUUUUAUAACCAUAAUUAUUCAGUUUGCUUUGAUUCCAAAUGGAGAUAUUCACAUGAUCAUGUUCAUACGGAUAGUUACAUGGAUAGUAACACAAAAGAUGAUUUUGUGUGUAGCAGUACUACAGAAUAUUUACCUAAAUCUAAUCCAACAGAUGGUUCUUCUUUUUUUUCUAAAAUAAAAAUAAAUGAUAAGAAUAUGAAAUUAUACAAUAGUAGUAUGUCCGAGUUUCAGUGUACCACACGACAAUUAUUUUUUUUGUUACUAAUUCAAUGUAUUUUUACAACUAGUAACUUAUACCAUUUUAAUGUGUAUUAUUCUUUAAUAGAUUUGGCUUUAUUAAAAUUUAUGAAUAACUUUAACAUAAGCUUGGAAAAUUUUUUUAUUUCUAAAAAAUAUGUUUUACAUAUAAUAGAAAAAACAAGUCAAGACAUGGUUGCAGCAUUUGUAUUGUUUAACUCUUCGCUGUUAAAUAAUGCUGACAAGUUAGGAGAUGAAAAAAAAAACAAAAACCAAGAAAUGCAAAGUUUAAAUGAUGAGAAGGACCGUUUACGCAGUGACGGUGCUAGUGCAAAAAACGAGAUGAAUGUUAUAAGGAUAUUUAUAAAGGGUAGUUCGACUGCAGUUUUGUCUAAAUGUAGUCAGUAUUUGGAUGGCGACAAGUUGUGCAGGUUCGUGAGUACGCAUU
ensembl:lncRNA